CAAUAGCAUAUAUUAAAGUUGUUGCAGUUAAAAAGCUCGUAGUUGGAUUUCUGGUAUUACGCGCCUGGCCCGCUUUUAGUGAGUGCCGGUGCGCGUUUGCCAUCCUUCUAGAAAACGUUUCUACCCGGGCAACUGGGCCGGACUCGCGAUCUAGAUCUUUUACUUUGAAAAAUUGAGUGUUUAAAGCAGGCUUUUGCUAUGAAUACAUUAGCAUGGAAUAAUAAUCUAGGACUUCGGUUCUAUUUUGUUGGUUUCUAGUACUGAAGUAAUGAUUGAUAGGGAUAGUUGGGGGUGCUAGUAUUGGAGCGGCCAGAGGUGAAAUUCUUGGAUUCGCUCAAGACUAACUUAUGCGAAAGCAUUCACCAAGGAUGUCUUCUUUAAUCAAGAACGAAAGUU
rnacentral:rRNA from 1 species